GACGAACGCUGGCGGCGUGCUUAACACAUGCAAGUCGAACGGAAAGGCCCUGCUUUUGUGGGGUGCUCGAGUGGCGAACGGGUGAGUAACACGUGAGUAACCUGCCCUUGACUUUGGGAUAACUUCAGGAAACUGGCGCUAAUACCGGAUAGGAGCUCCUGCUGCAUGGUGGUGGUUGGAAAUUUUCGUCGGUGGGGGAUGGACUCGCGGCUUAUCAGCUUGUUGGUGGGGUAGUGGCUUACCAAGGCGUUGACGGGUAGCCGGCCUGAGAGGGUGACCGGCCACAUUGGGACUGAGAUACGGCCCAGACUCCUACGGGAGGCAGCAGUGGGGAAUAUUGCACAAUGGGCGGAAGCCUGAUGCAGCAACGCCGCGUGCGGGAUGACGGCCUUCGGGUUGUAAACCGCUUUCGCCUGUGACGAAGCGUGAGUGAAGGUAACGGAUAAAGAAGCACCGGCUAACUACGGG
rnacentral:rRNA from 1 species